AUGGGGUCCCCUAAAUCAAAAUCGAGCUCCCCCAUGGCGUCCUCCAAGCCCCCCACGGCGUCCUCCGCGAGCCACCACCAGGCGGGCCGCCGCCGCCGCCGGUGCCUCGUCGCCACGGCGGCCGUCCUGUUCGCCCUGGCCGCCGUCCUCGCCGUCCUCUUCCUCACCGUCCUCCGCGUCCGCGACCCCACCAUCCGCCUCGUGUCCACCCAGUUCGUGGGCGCCGCCCCGAGCUUCGCGCUCCUCCCGACCCCGUCCCUCCGCCUCAACCUCACGCUCCUCGUCACGGUGUCCGUCCACAACCCCAACCCGGCCUCCUUCACCUACGCCGACGGGGGCCACGCCAACCUCUCCUACCGCGGCGCCCACGUCGGGGACGCCGAGAUCGACCCGGGCGCCGUCCCGAGCCGCGGGGACGCGGAGGUCCGGGUCGCGCUCACGCUGGAGGCGGACCGGUUCGCCGCCGCCGGGGGCGCGAGGCAGCUGGCCGAGGACGUGGAGAGCCGGGCGAUGCCGCUGGAAUCCGCCACCACCGUCCCCGGCACGGUGCUGCUGUUCGGCGUGUUCAGGCGCCGCGCCGUGGCAUACUCCGAGUGCAGGCUCGAGGUCGCCGUCAUGGAGAUGCGCGUCCAGAGCCACCAGUGCAACAGCAGCACCAAGCUCUGA
rnacentral:rRNA from 1 species